CCUUGGGCAUACGAUCUGCUACCUGAAUUAGAGAAGAAGAAGACGCCGAAAGAACCGAUCUGCAGAGAAGCAGAUCAAAGAGAACAGAUUGAAAACGAAAAAAAAAUUAAAAUCAAACUGCUGUGUGUUUGUUCUUCGUUCUGCAGAUAACGAGGGCUUUCACCGCCGGUGAGGAGAGGAAGAAGGAGAGAAGCCGAGCCUGAUCCACCCUGUCCCCUGUUUUGUUUGCGGCGGCGCGUGCACCCACGCGCCGCCAGUGGCGGUGGUGCGUGGAUCCACGCGCCGGAACUGUUCACGCAGCCCCCAGGACUCCUUCCCUGCAAUUCUGGAGUUUUUAGGGACCAUUUUGUAAAUUUA
rnacentral:lncRNA from 1 species